CAGGCAUGGGUAGGCAUGAGCAGGCAUGGGUAGGCAUGGGUAGGCAUGGGCAGGCAUGGGUAGGCAUGGGCAGGCAUGGGCAGGCAUGGGUGGGCAUGGGUAGGCAUGGGCAGGCAUGGGCAGGCAUGGGCAGGCAUGGGUAGGCAUGGGUAGGCAUGGGCAGGCAUGGGCAGGCAUGGGUAGGCAUGGGUAGGCAUGGGUAGGCAUGGGCAGGCAUGGGUAGGCCAAAGGCUCACACCAGUGUCCUCCUCAAUCAUCUUCUACUUUAUGCUUUUAUCAAAGCCCAGCUUGCUGAGAUCAAUGAGUUUGUGGUAUUUGUUUACACAGCAGAGGUGAGAGACCAUUUACAGGAAAUGUAGCUGUGACACCACAAGGUCCCACCCCAUUGUAUGGCAAGCCCACGGACACCCCAUCACGGAGUACCACUUCCUACUUGGCUUCCCCUUCCUGUGCAGUCUAGCAUCUCCGGAGAUCCUUCGCAGCUGGGGCUCAUGCAGACAGCUGGGAUCUCAGGUGCAGAUCUUGUGACCCCUCUUCCCUCGUUCUGGAAGGUCCACAGCUCCACUGUUAUCCCAGGCCUGGUGACUACCGUGGUCCUUCUCUGCUUAGCAAACCCAUGCCUGUUCUAAGAUGGCAUUGUGUUACGUGCAGAAGGGGAAUUGCUUGGCAACACUCUACCCCUUCCCCUGCGCAUUCUUUC
rnacentral:lncRNA from 1 species